GGCGAUAUUUACAGCUCUUUCCCUCCACGGAUGUAUCGGUAGGACCUCUGACUCCCAAAGGACUGCCUGUUUUUCAAGAAAUAGGUUCUCUUUUGCUCCUGAAAGAUGCCGAUAAUCAAAGCACACAGACCUGUACGUUCAGAGUACAGCUAAGUGGGUGUGCAGGAGAGGAAGGAGCCGCAUUGCCCAGUGAAAACUCAAGCUUCACGUUCAGCUUAGUGAUCUCGCUUCUUUGUGCAUCCAAAGUCAUGGAUGAAACAUUACUGAUUCGGAACAGAGACCUGUGGAAUCCCAUGAGCAGCACCAGGGCAGCACUGGGGCCAUGGCCACCCCCCACCCAAUGGUAUGUUUGGUUGUUAUGGGACAUUUGUAGGGUCACUGUGCCACAGCUCUGUGAUCUCACAAGCCACCUCCCUCCUGGACCCCUAUAAAUAUGGGGACCCGGAGCCCAGAACCUCUGUCCAUCUGCAACCAGCGUCUUGACUGCCAGAGCCCUCUGACAGAAAGAGCAGCAUUUGAAUCCCCUUCCCGCGUGUGGUGAGAGCUGUGGUGGAGGGGGACGGAUCCCCCUCCACCGAAGAAGCGUCGCCGGCAGGAGAGCAGCAGCAAGCCGGAGCCCAUGGAGAUAGACUCCGAAGAGAGUGACGUCAACAUGGAACCAAUGGAGGUGGAUCUGCCUCCUGAGGAAGAG
ensembl:lncRNA